rnacentral:sRNA from 1 species
CCCUAGCCCUGAUAGAAAUAAAAAUCCUUUUAUGUUGUUGUUCAGCAUAAAAGAUUGCAAUGUAUAGCAGGAAAUAGC